rnacentral:rRNA from 1 species
AGGCAGCAGUGGGGAAUAUUGGACAAUGGGCGAAAGCCUGAUCCAGCCAUGCCGCGUGAGUGAUGAAGGCCUUAGGGUUGUAAAGCUCUUUCAGCUGGGAAGAUAAUGACGGUACCAGCAGAAGAAGCCCCGGCUAACUCCGUGCCAGCAGCCGCGGU